rnacentral:rRNA from 1 species
CUGCAGUCGAGCGGUAGAGAGAAGCUUGCUUCUCUUGAGAGCGGCGGACGGGUGAGUAAUGCCUAGGAAUCUGCCUGGUAGUGGGGGAUAACGUUCGGAAACGGACGCUAAUACCGCAUACGUCCUACGGGAGAAAGCAGGGGACCUUCGGGCCUUGCGCUAUCAGAUGAGCCUAGGUCGGAUUAGCUAGUUGGUGGGGUAAUGGCUCACCAAGGCGACGAUCCGUAACUGGUCUGAGAGGAUGAUCAGUCACACUGGAACUGAGACACGGUCCAGACUCCUACGGGAGGCAGCAGUGGGGAAUAUUGGACAAUGGGCGAAAGCCUGAUCCAGCCAUGCCGCGUGUGUGAAGAAGGUCUUCGGAUUGUAAAGCACUUUAAGUUGGGAGGAAGGGCAGUAAAUUAAUACUUUGCUGUUUUGACGUUACCGACAGAAUAAGCACCGGCUAACUCUGUGCCAGCAGCCGCGGUAAUACAGAGGGUGCAAGCGUUAAUCGGAAUUACUGGGCGUAAAGCGCGCGUAGGUGGUUAGUUAAGUUGGAUGUGAAAUCCCCGGGCUCAACCUGGGAACUGCAUUCAAAACUGACUGACUAGAGUAUGGUAGAGGGUGGUGGAAUUUCCUGUGUAGCGGUGAAAUGCGUAGAUAUAGGAAGGAACACCAGUGGCGAAGGCGACCACCUGGACUGAUACUGACACUGAGGUGCGAAAGCGUGGGGAGCAAACAGGAUUAGAUACCCUGGUAGUCCACGCCGUAAACGAUGUCAACUAGCCGUUGGGAGCCUUGAGCUCUUAGUGGCGCAGCUAACGCAUUAAGUUGACCGCCUGGGGAGUACGGCCGCAAGGUAAAACUCAAAUGAUUGACGGGGGCCCGCACAAGCGGUGGAGCAUGU